rnacentral:snoRNA from 1 species
AAGACUGUACUUUCAGGGAUCAUUUCUAUAGUUUGUUACUAGUGAAGUUUCUCUGAUCCUGUAAAGACCCUCCCUAGU